rnacentral:rRNA from 1 species
UACGGGGGGGAGCAAGCGUUGUUCGGAUUUACUGGGCGUAAAGGGCGCGUAGGCGGCCACCGCAAGUCGAUUGUGAAAUCUCCGGGCUUAACCCGGAAAGGUCAACCGAUACUGCGGGGCUAGAGUGCAGAAGGGGCAACUGGAAUUCUCGGUGUAGCGGUGAAAUGCGUAGAUAUCGAGAGGAACACCUGCGGCGAAGGCGGGUUGCUGGGCUGACACUGACGCUGAUGCGCGAAAGCGUGGGGAGCGAACAGG